UAGAGCAUCAGCAAGGAAGUCUGAUGGCAAGUCUCUUUUUAUUGCUCUCAUUUCUAACCUUUUAUUAUCACAAUGUCAUGUGUAUAACCAUUUGUCUUCUUUCUUAUCUCAUAACCAUUUGUCUUCUUUCUUAUCUCAUAACCAUUUGUUAUAAUGUCUAGUGGGAAUUUCUUAAGAGAGUCCCAAUUUAUAAACUGAAAUGUGUCUAGGGUGGAAAGGGGACAUUUUUUCCAGAUUCUUAUCUUUGUUGAUAGCAAUUCCACUGCCAGACAGUCCAGUUUCAUGUUGGCUACCGUCAGUGUAAAUUGUGAUGUCGAAGAGGGAGCUAUUUUCCUCAAUGAUUUGGAGGCCAAGAGCUUUAAGUAAUUCUGGCCGAGUUUCAUGUUUGUGGGGAUUGGCUGGUAGAUGAGGGUAACAGAUGUGUUUGUUGUGAGUUCUGUGUGGGGAAUAGGAAGUUAUGUGUUUGGGAUUAAUUGGAAUGUCUAAGAGAUGCGAGCCAUGUUGAGAGGAGUUGGGUGUUUUAGUCUUUGAUUUGGGACCCAAUUUCUAAAAAUUUUCCUAUAAGAUGUUCUUCUGGAGAGUUAAUCUUUUUGGUUAUGAAUUUUGAAAAGCAGAUUUUUCUCCUUAGGUGUAGGGAAAGAAGGUUGUAUUUGAGUUCAGCAUUGCGAUUUGGGCAAGAUCCUUGAAGCCCCCUGAUGAUUUGAGCUGCGCUUGGAUUCUGGAUAUAUUGGUUUUACUUGCAUUGAUCCAGGCUGGUGUAGCAUAUUCCAAAAUAGGUCUUACGAGUGCACGGUACAUUGUGCGUAAGAUAUUGGCAUUUGCACCCCAGUUAAGCCUGAUAUUUUAUUCAGGAUUCUGAGUCGGCUUUGUUUUAUCAUGGUGUCAAUGUUUUUUAAAAGUCAGAGCAGGGUCAAGUGUGACACCAAGAUAUCUUGGGGAAUCUGAAUAUUGGAUUAUUGAGUUGUUCAAUGAAAUAUUUGGGGUCCACUGGCGAAAGUGGUUGUUGAUGGUGAAGAGGCCAAUUUCAGAUUUGCUGAUGUUAAUUAAUAAUUUCAGUUUCUCUGUUAUCUUUUGCAGAUUUUUCAUGGCUUUAUUCAGAGAGUGUUCUGCAUCAGAGAGGUUGUUUUUGGAGACCCAGAUGAUUCUGUGUAAAGGGCAAAUAAGAUGAUAAUUGAAACUGCUGAUAAUUGGGAUAUAUGAUAAUUGGGACACCAGAUAAUUAGGACUAAUUAUGUCUUCUUCUGUCACUCAAUCAUGAUUAUAUUUGUGACUCCUGAUAUUUGAGACUGCAGAAAUGAUCCCUAAUAUUGUGAAACAUUCCUUUAUACUGGAUUCCAACAAUCAUUGCCAGGACCUGUUUGUUGCAGCACUACUAUGGAGCCUUCACAUGGAACUCCUGCCAAGGAAACAAGACUGCUACCAAUGUCCCCUCCUACACCUUCACUUAUCCCUGAGAGGGUUUUGAAGGUCAGAUCCAAUCUAUGGUAUAUUGCACCAAUAAUUGCAGCAAGCAGCCAAUAGAGUUCUUAUGCAGUAGCUUCCUACUGAGUGAUUAUUUAUUAUGAGUGACAAGAAGCACUGUCAAUAUUCUCACCGCCAGGCCACAGCCUAAUAUGACAUUCCAGCAACUUGUUACACUGAGCCUCACACACCAUUUUUACACUUGGCUCAUAUUUUAUUACAUACUAAACAGGUGACCCGGGCUUCGCCCCGGGAUUGACCUGUGUGCAUAUCUACUCGAGUGAUAUAUAUUUAGAUAAGAUUUUUUUAAAUAAUUGUUUGUUAUUAGCAUUAUCUAUUUGUUUGCAUCAGCAUAAUUUAAUCUAAUCUUUGAUAGAGGGCGCUGUUCGUGAGCUAAGUAGAAUAAUUUGAAUAUAUAGUAUUUUAUAAUUGAUUUAUAUAUUUUUUAAAAUAGCCUAUCAUCUUCCCCGUAUUUUUUUUACCUAUAUAUGGAAAUUUUGGUUUGAAUUAGUGAACUACUGCGAAUUUGUAUACCGGACAUACAAACAUACAAACAUUGAUUUUAUAUAUAUAGAUGUACACCCCUCUUUAUUUUUUUUUAAUUUUCAGAACUUAUUUGACAAAAAAAAAAGAUACUCACACAAGCACUCUAUGGUAUAUUGCACCAAUAAUUGCAUCAAGCAGCCAAUAGAGUUCCUAUGCAAAGAUUUCCCAGUAUUUAAUCAAUCCUGAAUGCCAUCAGGGGUUGUUCCACCAUCUAAUAACAAUAGUCCAUCAUUGAGGUUGGGUUGGUUGGUCCUCUGGUAGGUCAAGCUGACAUGAGUGUAAUGUGAGGAUUAUUACAAGUUCUCUUUCAUUGGACGUCAGGAAGUUUCUCUGCUAUGUCCACAAAAGGUAACUUGCCCCGUUGAUCUAGCAGAUGUCUUUGAUUAUUGGAGCUCUUUGACAGGCCCAAACCACCAAUAGGAUUCCCUAGAUAAAACUUGUAGGAAUGUAUUUAACUAUGUGUGCACACACAUAUUGUGAAAAUAUACAAGAAUGGAACAUAGCACUUGUUGAGGUCCAGAAAGAAGGUGGUGUUAAGGGGGUCUACAUAUUAGUAGAAAAACCAGGUAGCUCUCAUUAAAUCCAGAAGGAGAAAGGACAGGGCAUAUUUUGUCCAUUAUUUAUAAGCCAAUAUAGAGCAGUAAAACUAUCUUUGACCUAUCAGACAUGUAAGAACUAUAAUAUAUAUUACCUGUGCUAUACACACCUUCUCAUAGUAAUAUUUCAACCAAAUUGUGGACAACCUCCAGGUGAGGCUGGGUUAGGCCUUACAUGGGUGGAGACUUGUGCAUUGUUUAAAAAUCAAAUGUUCCAUCAAGUAAUGUUCCCCUAUUUCUUUGACACCUGAAGUGUUAUUAUGGAGACAUAUCCGUAAGUUGUACAUCUUUAAUUCCUGUAAAUCAUUUCUUGAAAUCUCUCUUUUCCAGAAUCAUACCUGCACAAUAUGAUGUUCAAUAUCGUCCAUUAUCAUGUGUGCACAGUGUGUGUAUAGUCUUUUAUCACAUGUUUUAUCAGAUUUUGAAAUAUGCUCCAGAUUGAUUUUAAGGACAUUGGUUAAUGCUGAGGUGAGCUUCUUAACCUUCUCUGAGACUGUUUUUGAAACAUUCAUUAAGCGCACUAUAUAGAAUACUAGGGAUGUGUGUAGUAGUUUUUGCCAUGCCUCAUAGCAGCCUGGGAAUGCCUUUGCCAAUAAAUUAUCAUCUUCUGUUGGGUUGUGUCUCUCCUAUUGAUAAAGGCAUCAACCGUUGCUCUUUUCAGCGCUGUGUUGAACUUCCAAUCGGUCAAUAAGCAGCUUGCACCGCCUAUCCCUCUCUGCUGUUCUCGGUGGCCUUGAUGACCGGGCAGGAAAGUGAAUCAGUGGAGGUACAGGUGGGCAAGGAGAGGAUGGAUGUGUGUUUUGUUUGAGUAGGUGUGUGAGAAGAUUUGUGGAGUGAUUGGCCUCGAUGAGGCGUUGUUGGUACGUGUGUGAAGGUGUGAAAAAGUUUUAUUCAGGGUUUCGUUAAAUUAUUGGUUUGGCACUGUGUUUGUCACCACACCUGUGACAUUUAGCCACAGUUUUGUUGUCACAGGCCUUAGAAAGAUGCGCACCAGCGCAGUGGCUACAUUUAGCCGCCCUAGUGCACUUUCCAUUGUUGUGGGUCCUGUGACUCAAGCUGCCACAGACACCACAUGGGAAUAUGCGCUUUGCUCUAGCGAGUCUCAGUGAUAGGAAGUCAAUUGUGAUCCUACCACGCUCGAGCAAGGCAGUCUCUACUUCCUUAUUUACUUCUACUAUCGCAGUGGAGGGGGCACCCUCUUUCUUAAUCAGUUCCACCAUCCUGAUGUUUUCGCCACUUUUCAGCAGCUUUUCGACAACGGAUGGCUACUAAUAUCAGCCACAAGCUGCUCCUCAGUUUUCUCUCCAGGAAUAACGAAGAUAGCAAGCCUGGGCUUGAAUGUGGGGUUUGUCUGGACUUUAAGUCCACCAAUGUUGGCGGACUUAACGUUGUCCACAAGCCUCUUUUUUUCAGAGGGGUUGGCGAAGUGGAGGACAAGUUUUUUUUAUCCCUCCCUGUCACCGCGGCUACAUCACAAUUUUUUAAACUGGGAGUUUGGGCGAUUUUUGCCCUAAUCUCACUAACAGUGAGGUCCUUGGAAGCGAGCUUCACGUGGUUGGUGCUGUUACGCAGCAUAUGCUCGUAACUGGGUUUAGUUGGUUUAGCAGGCUUAGCACCUGCAUUGGUUGGCUGGGUGACUUUAUUCGUCACAGGGGCUGGUUUGGGAGGAGGUGUUGGAGCUACUUUUUUAAUAGAGGCUGCGUGCGCAGCCCUGAUUUCUUUCUUCUACUCUGGUAUUUUGCAGCUGGCGAGCAGCAUAUCAAUUGUUCCGUACAAUUUUUUAUUGGCUGCAGAGUCCAGUUCCCCGCUAAGCCCUACUCCAAUUUCAUGCUGCAAGAUUUCCCUGUAGCUUGAAAAGGAUGUUUCUAUCUCUUCCCACCCCUCCCUAAAAGCUGUGUUAGAGUUUGAAGGUUUGAUAGGAGGAGGAAGAGAAGGAGUGACCCAGGGACACUCACCAUUUUGGAGAGUUGGGGCAGAAGAAGAAGCGGAGGUAUCCGCCGCGUUCAUAGUUGAGAAUAUCCAAGAUUAAUCCAAGAGUGUAGGGGUGCACUGUUAGGUGGCCCGGGACUUGAAUGAUGAUUCACGCUCGUUGGCGUGUCUAUUAUUAUUAUGCCUUCUACAUGCUUUCGGAGACACGCUCGUUGGUGUGGAAGAGUUAAAUGGCCGAGUGCGGCCGCUCUGGAGAUCCCGCAUUUUGAUUGGCUGCGGGCGGAAAAAAUCCGGGGAGGAUAAAUGGCGUUUGGCGGCCGUCCAAGAGAUCCGGGGAAUUAAAUAAUUUUUAUCCUCGUCUGGUUUCUUGGUGAAUUGGGGCUGGGCGUCCAAGGAUGUAUCCUUGCAGGACCGCUGGCGCUGGGGAACAGGAGCACAGGAGACCAGGGGCACUAUAGAGAAAUUCCUAUUUAGCUUCGGCAUAGGUGGGCAGGGAGAGGAUGUUUGCAAUUUUUGUUCAAGGAGAUGAGUGAGGAGGUUUGUGGAGUUGUUGGCCUCGAGGAGGCGUUGUUGGUGUAUUUUCGAGAUGUGUGCAAAAGUUUUUUUUAGAGCAAAGCGGAAACCAUCAGCAAGGGUGGGGUCAACAGAGUCAGCAUAAGGGGCAAGGAUGUGAUAGGUCCAGUUUAGAUGUAGGAGGUGUGAGGGGUUGUUGGUUGGGAACAUGUCACAUGUGGGUGGAGGUGAGUCAAGGGUUGUAGUGUUGUUGAGGUGGUUGGCGUAGGUGGAGUGGUGUGUGUACAUGUGUGGAUGAGGUAGGGUGAAGAGGGGUGGAGGAGCUCACCCCUGGUCAACUGCCAAGGUCCAGAUUCCCGCCGAUGGUAGGGUCGAGCAGGGAGUAAUCCAAGAGAGUAGGUGUGCACUGUUCGGUGGCCAGGAACGUGAAUGAUGAUUCACACUCGUUGGCGUGGAAGUGUUAAAUGGCCGAGUGUGUCGAGGCUGCGGUUUGGAGUUUGGUUUUUGUGAGCUCCAGAGGGAGGAGACAGCGUUGACAUCUCCUGCGAAGAGAAGGCGGGGAGGGGGGGGAGCCAAAGAGGGAGAUAAAGGAGUCGACGAUGGGGGAGUAAGAAGUGUGGUGGGGGAAGUAUACGGAGCAGAGAGUAAGGUGAAGGCCGGGGAUGUCAAGGAUUGCGAGGGUGCGGUUGGUGGUGGAGAGUCGUGGGAGGAAAAUGACGGGAAGGCUUUGAUUAAGAACAAUUAUACAGGAGUUACACCGGUUGUUAGAGAUGGGAGCAUGGAGGAGGGGGUGGGAAAUGGGGAGGGAAGGGCAUUGUCACGGACCGGAAGUUCUUGAAGGAGAAGGAUAUCUAUAUGGGAGAACUGGGCAAAUUGUAGUAAGGAGAGGUAGCAAGGGAGGGAUCGGUUGCAGUUAAGCUGUAAGAACUUAAGCAUUUAGGGCAGGUUGUGCCCCCAGGAGCAGAUGAGGUGUCAGAGGUGGGGGUGGCCCCCGGGGGGGGGCACUGGGAAGAGGGUGCAGGACGGAGCGGACCCGACCCUGGCGGAGCGUCGGCGGGAGGGCCCGCCGGCGGACGCGCGGGAGCGGGCGGACGAGCCGCCGGGUGUGUGGCGGUGGGUGGCGUGGCUGCUGCUCGCAGGGAAGGGCGGGCGGUGGAGCCAGCGCGGCGGAGGUUGGAGGCUCUCCAGGCAGUGGGGGGAGGUCGAGUGGCGGUGUGCGGCCACUCAAGAGGUCCAACGCUCUGAUUGGACGCCCACAGGAAAUUAUUCAGGGCGACAGACGGGGCAGGUGGCCGCCUGGGAGGACCGAGGAAUUAAAAUGAACAAACGUUCGGGCAGGACAGGGUGGAGGUGGUCCCACGGCAGGGGAACCCGCGGGGGAGAAGAGGCAGCGGCCCGCGAAGGGGCGGAGGCAGGAGCGCAGAAGAAGGAACCACGCGGUCGGAGUCCGCGGCGACUAUAUCCCCCGACGCUCGUUGCCGUGGAAGUGUUAAAUGGCCGAUUGCGGCCACUCUGGAGAUCCCGCAUUUUGAUUGGCUGCGGGCGGAAAAAAUCGGGGAGGAUAAAUGGCGCUUGGCGGCCGUCCAAGAGAUCCGGGGAAUUAAAUAAUUUUUAUCCUCGUCUGGUGUCUUGGUGAAUUGGGGCUGGGCGUCUAAGGAUGUAUCCUUGUAGGACUGCUGGCGCUGGCGCUUUUAAGCGAGAUAUUCUUCUUUACAUAAGUAAUAAUUCCAAUAUUCUCAGGUGCUUUUCCCUCUACAAUGAUCUUCCCCAUUAAUUUCUGGAGAGGUUCUUUAUUUGCUAUUUGAGAACUAGUGUUUGUUUUCAGAACUUGAAUAUAUGUCCUUUCAUUUUUUUCCAUAAGAUUUUUUAACUUAUAAUCGAUUUUACUAUUAUUUUCCUCCAUCAUUUCCCUUGUUUCCUUCACCAAUGCCUCCAUCCUUUCACCAAAAUCAAUCUUCAUAUCUUCUAUCAUUUCCUUUUGUGAUUUUGCGUUAUAUUCCAAAUUUUUGUUUAGAUUAAUUAAUUCCAGAUUUUGUGGCAAAAUUUUCAUAAAAUCCAUCAAAUCAUUCUGAAUUAAAGUUACCAUCUUUUUCUGCGAUUCCACUCUACUUGAUUUUCUAUUAAUGAAAUUUGCGAUGUUUUCAAUCAAACUGUUCAACAUAGGAAACAUUUUUUUUGUUUCUUCAGAAAUUUCCAUAACUUCCAUUAUAAUUUCUAUUUGUUUAACAAUGAAUAUUUCAUACUAUGCGAAAUUUUUAAAAGUUUUUCUCUAUUUUUCCUUAUGCAAAUAUUCCCAAGAUUAACUUUUAACAAAUUUGUUUCUUCUUUUUUAUCAAAUUUUAGGCUUAGUAACUUCUACUUUUUUUCGUAGUUUUCUACUUUUAUAAAAAAAAUUUUAAACAUAUAAAUAAGAGAAAUUAUUCAAAUAUAUAUAUACCUACUGCUUUUAUAUUCCAAAAAGUGAAAAUACAGCAAUUUUAAGGUAAGAAAGUAUUUUUUUUGCAGAGCUCUUUUCACGCGAUGUUUACCGCUCGCGAUCUGCGCAGGCGUAGGUGGAGUGGUGUGUGUACAUGUGUGGAUGAGGUAGGGUGAAGAGGGGUGGAGGAGCUCACCCCUGGUCGACUGCCAAGGUCCAGAUUCCCGCCGAUGGUAGGGUCGAGCAGGGAGUUGAACAUGCUCGGGUGGACAAGCUUCGCGUGUCUGAUAGAGGUGCGAAAUCUAUUAUAUAAUUUCUUAUAAAAUAUCUUUAACACGCUUCUAACAGGCUCACAAACUUUUCUCCAAACCCUUUCAACUUUUUGAGUAGCCCUUUGGAACGGAUUUAGUUCAGGUUUCCACCAAGUGGGUUUCUUAAAAAAAAAAAUAUUGGUGGAAGGUUUAGAGGGAUUGGUUUGAAGACAGGAGUGAGGUCCGCGGAAGCGAGCUUCACGUGGUUGGUGCUGUUACGCAGCAUAUGCGCGUAACUGGGCUUAGUUGGUUUAGCAGGCUUAGCACCUGCAUUGGUUGGCUGGGUGACUGGGCUGACUCACCAGGUCGAAGGAUACAUCCUUUGGGGCUGAGGGGAGGAGGAGGAGCACAGGUUGUUGGCAGAGGGUGGUCGAUUGAGGAGGGGGGUAGGGAUCAAGGGCAUGGGUGAGUUGAAGGAGGCUUGGUUGGGCGUCGUCGUGAAUUCCAUCUUGUUUGAUGUGUAAUCCAGUGGGGGUGGGGUAGUGGUAGCAGAGGCGGUGAAAUAACCGCUUCUCAAGAGCAUAAGUGCCGUGGGAGCGGCUAUGAAUGCUCAGUGGAGCGGGCGGAAGCUUGAAUGAAGUGGGGAGGCCGCCGCGGCGAUGUGCACAGGUCGGUGACCAGAGGUAGAAUGACGAUAAAAAUCCUGGAAGCGACCGACGUGGGGUCGUUUAGAACACGCGGAGAACUCGGGGAAAAAAAAAAUGGCCGAGUGCGGCCGCCCUGGAGAUCCCGCAUUUUGAUUGGCUGCAGGCGGAAAAUAUCCGGGGAGGAUAAAUGGCGUUUGGCGGCCGUCCAAGAGAUCCGGGGAAUUAAAUAGUUUUUAUCCUCGUCUGGUUUCUUGGAGAAUUGGGGCUGGACGUCCAAGGAUGUAUCCUUGUAGGACCGCUGGCGCUGGGGAACAGGAGCACAGGAGACCAGGGGCACUAUAGAGAAAUUCCUAUUUAGCUUCGGCAUAGGUGGGCAGGGAGAGGAUGUUUGCAAUUUUUGUUCAAGGGAUGAGUGAGGAGGUUUGUGGAGUUGUUGGCCUCGAGGAGGCGUUGUUUGUGUAUUUUCGAGAUGUGUGCGAAAGUUUUUUUUUAGAGCAAAGCGGAAACCAUCAGCAAGGGUGGGGUCAACAGAGUCAGCAUAAGGGCAAGGAUGUGAUAGGCCCAGUUUAGAUGUAGGAGGUGUGAGGGGUUGUUGGUUGGGAACAUGUCACAGUGGGUGGAGGUGAGUCAAGGGUGUAGGGUUGUUGAGGUUGUUGGCGUAGGUGGAGUGGUGUGUGUACAUGUGUGGAUGAGGUAGGGUGAAGAGGGGUGGAGGAGCUCCCCUGGUCGACUGCCAAGGUCCAGAUUCCCGCCGAUGGUAGGGUCGAGCAGGGAGUUGAACAUGCUCGGGUGGACAAGCUUCGCGUGUCUGAUAGAGGUGCGAAAUCUAUUAUAUAAUUUCUUAUAAAAUAUCUUUAACACGCUUCUAACAGGCUCACAAGCUUUUCUCACGCCCUUUCAACUUUUUGAGUAGCCCUUUGGAGCGGAUUUAGUUCAGGUUUACACCAAGUGGGUUUCUUAAAAAAAAAAAAAAUAUUGGUGGAAGGUUUAGAGGGAUUGGUUUGAAGACAGGAGUGAAACACCUCGUCCUCUAGUAAAUUAAUUACUUCAUCAACUUGAGUUGUGUCACUCGCGUCCAGUAAGGAGGAGAUUCUAGACAUUUUUUUUUUAAAGUGAGAUAAAAAAAAUCCCAGUCGGCGCGACCAAAGCUGAAGUGUACUUCGCUAAAGUUGUUUAAGUGUAUGUCGUUAUUGCUGUUAGAAGAGAGGGGUUCAAAAUUAACGUUAAACACGAGGCAUUUAUGGUCAGAUAAAGCCUGGUUGAUUGCAUGCCAGUUGGCGACCUUGUCCGCGAGGCCGGCAGAACAACACGUGACGUCGAUGGAGGAGGACCUCUCGCCCUCCUCCCACGUGAUCAUGCCGUGUUUGUUGACAACGUGGAGCAAGUUAGCGUCAAGGAAGUUUUCGACAAUUUCUCUGUUAGAGCAUUUGUAUUUAAGCAACCACGCUUUAUUUGACCAUCUAUAGGAUUAAAUAUUAAAGUCCGGGCAAAAAAUCACCUCGUGGAAAUUAAUUGUUUUUAAAGAGUUGUCUAUCCUAUCAAGAAGAGCAUCGGAACAACAUGAUGGUGAAAGAUAAACAGUACACAGAAGGAUUGACAAGUCAUUCACUUCACACAGGACAAAUACAGCAUUCACACAAGUGAGACAAGUAUAUGAAUUUUAAAUUCGGAUUUGCUAUUAUUACGGCCGCUCCCAAUUUAUUUUCAAACAUUGGGCCGUAGCAAACCCUGUCAAGGGGCACAGGUAAUGACGGUAAAUUGUUUUAGGAAACUGGGAGUUCUUGCAACAAUAGCACAUCCGAUUUUUCCUCGCGACAUUCAUUCAACAAGGAGUACAAACAAUAUGUCUUUCAUUGGCUUGAACACACUUGAGAACGUUCAUCGCACCAACAAUUUAUUUAAAUUAUCCUGUGCCUCCCGCAUGUGUUUACACGCCAUGGAGUUGGCACUGUGUUUGUCACCACACCUGUGACAUUUCAAUGAUGUUUUAUUUUCACAUGUUUCGGAAAGAUGUGCACCAGCGCAGUGGCUGCAUUUAGCCGCCCUAGUGCACCUCUUUCCGUUGGUGUGGGUUUUGUGACUUAGACUGCCACAGACACCACAUGGGAAGACGCGCUUUGCUCUAGCGAGUCUCAGCGAGAGGUAGUCGAUCGUGAUCCUACCACGCUCGAGUAGGACAGCCUCAACAUCCUUAUUUACCUCAACUAUCGCGGUGGAGGUGGCACCUCUUUUUGAAUUAAUUUCACCAUCCUGAUGUUUUCGCCGCUUUUCAGCAGCCUUUCAACAGCGGGAUGGUUACUGAUAUCAGCCACAAGCUGCUCUUCAGUUUUCUCUCCAGGAAUACCAAAGAUGGCAAGCCUGAGCUUGAAUGUGGGGUUUGUUUGGACUUUAAGUCCACCAAUGUUGGCGGACUUAACGUUGUCCACAAACCUCUUUUUCUCAGAGGGGUCGGCGAAGUGGAGGACAAGUUUUUUGUCCCCCCCUGUCACCGCGGCUACAUCACAGUUCUUUAGACUGGGCGUCUGGGCGAUUUUUGCCCUUAUCUCGCUAACAGAGAGGUCCGCGGAAGCGAGCUUCACGUGAUUAAUGCUGUUACGCAGCAUAUGCGCGUAACUGGGUUCGGAUGGUUUGGCAGGCUUAGCACCUGCAUUGGCUGGCGGGGUGACUUUUGUCACCUUUGGGGUUGGUUUGGGAGAGGGUGUAGGAGCGACGGUUGUUGUUUCUUUAGAGGCUGUUGCUUCGGCUCUAAUUCCAGCGACUCUAAGAUCGCAGCACUUCAGCUUAUGCUGAAGGAUGCCCACAAACGUGUUUUGGAUAUCGUAUAGCAGACCAUCCAUUUCUCUAAAGAAUUGUUUAUUAGAUGGGGAACCAAGGUCCCCGCUAAGUCGUUUACCUACUUCAUGUUGAAAGAUCUCACGGAAAUAUCUGAAAGAUGUAUUGAUUUCAUCCCACCCUUCCCUAAAUGCUGUGUUAGAGUUUUUUAGGAACAAUGGGAGCAGGAGGAGAAGGAGUGACCCUGGGAAACUCACCCAGAGUUGGGGCAGAAGAAGCGGAGGUAUCCGCCGCCAUAGUGAUAUAUCCAAAGAGUAAUCCGCAAGCAAGAGUAAUCCACGAGCAAUCCAAGAUCAAGAGUAAUCCAGGGAUGUGUGCACAGGUUGGAGUCAGGGACGCGAAUGAAGGGACGCUCGUUGGCGUGGAAGUGUUAAAUGGCCGAGUGCGGCCGCUUGGAGAUCCCGCAUUUUGAUUGGCUGCGGGCGGAAAAAAAUCCGGGGAGGAUAAAUGGCGUUUGGCGGCCGUCCAAGAGAUCCGGGGAAUUAAAUAAUUUUUAUCCUCGUCUGGUUUCUUGGUGAAUUGGGGCUGGGCGUCCAAGGAUGUAUCCUUGUAGGACCGCUGGCGCUGGGGAACAGGAGCACAGGAGACCAGGGGCAUUAUAGAGAAAUUCCUAUUUAGCUUCGGCAUAGGUGGGCAGGGAGAGGAUGUUUGCAAUUUUUGUUCAAGGAGAUGAGUGAGGAGGUUUGUGGAGUUGUUGGCCUCGAGGAGGCGUUGUUGGUGUAUUUUCGAGAUGUGUGCGAAAGUUUUUUUUAGAGCAAAGCGGAAACCAUCAGCAAGGGUGGGGUCAACAGAGUCAGCAUAAGGGGCAAGGAUGUGAUAGGCCCAGUUUAGAUGUAGGAGGUGUGAGGGGUUGUUGGUUUAGGAACAUGUCACAUGUGGGUGGAGGUGAGUCAAGGGUGUAGUGUUGUUGAGUUGGUUGGCGUAGGUGGAGUGGUGUGUGUACAUGUGUGGAUGAGGUAGGGUGAAGAGGGGUGGAGGAGCUCACCCCUGGUCGACUGCCAAGGUCCAGAUUCCCGCCGAUGGUAGGGUCGAGCAGGGAGUUGAACAUGCUCGGGUGGACAAGCUUCGCCUGUCUGAUAGAGGUGCGAAAUCUAUUAUAUAAUUUCUUAUAAAAUAUCUUUAACACGCUUCUAACAGGCUCACAAGCUUUUCUCCACGCCCUUUCAACUUUUUGAGUUGCCCUUUGGAACGGAUUUAGUUCAGGUUUCCACCAAGUGGGUUUCUUAAAAAAAAAAUAUUGGUGGAAGUUUAGAGGGAUUGGUUUGAAGACAGGAGUGAAACACCUCGUCCUCUAGUAAAUUAAUUACUUCAUCAACUUGAGUUGUGUCACUCGCGUCCAGUAAGGAGGAGAUUCUAGACAUUUUUUUAUUAAAGUGAGAUAAAAAAAAUCCCAGUCGGCGUGACCAAAGCUGAAGUGUAUUUCACUAAAGUUGUUUACGUGUAUGUCGUUAUUGCUGUUAGAAGAGAGGGGUUCAAAAUUAACGUUGAACACGAGGUGUUUAUGGUCAAAUAAAGCCUGGUUGAUUGCAUUCCAAUCGGCGAUCCCGUCCGCGAGGCCAGCAGAACAACACGUGACGUCGAUGGAGGACCUCUCGCCCUCCUCCCACGUGAUCGUGCCGUGUUUGUUAACAACGUGGAGCAAGUUAGCGUCGAGGAAGUUUUCGACAAUUUCUCUUUUAGACCAUUUGUAUUUAAGCAACCGCGCUUUAUUUGACCAUCUAUAGGAUUAAAUAUUAAAGUCCGCGCAAAAAAUCACCUCGUGGAAAUUAAUUGUUUUUAAAGAGUUGUCUAUCCUAUCAAGAAGAGCAUCGGAACAACAUGAUGGUGAAAGAUAAACAGUACACAGAAGGAUUGACAAGUCAUUCACUUCACACAGGACAAAUACAGCAUUCACACAAGACAAGUGAGACAAGUAUAUGAAUUUUAAAUUCGGAUUUGCUAUUAUUACGGCCGCUCCCAAUUUAUUUUCAAUUAUUGGACCGCAGCAAACCCUGUCAAGGGGCACAGGUAAUGACGGUAAAUUGUUUUUGAAACUGGGAGUUCUUGCAACAAUAGCACAUCCGAUUCCUCCUCGCGACAUUAUUCAACAAGGAUUACAAACAAUAUGUCUUUCAUUGGCUUGAACACACUUGAGAACGUUCAUCGCACCAACAAUUUAUUGAAAUUAUCCUGUGCCUCCCGCAUGUGUUUACACGCCAUGGAAUUGGCACUGUGUUUGUCGCCACACCUGUGACAUUUCAACACAGUUUUGUUUUCACAGGUUUCGGAAAGAUGUGCACCAGCGCAGUGGCUACAUUUAGCCGCCCUAGUGCACUUCUUUCCGUUGGUGUGGGUUUUGUGACUUAAACUGCCACAGACACCACAUGGGAAGACGCGCUUUGCUCUAGCGAGUCUCAGUGAGAGGAAGUCAAUCGUGAUCCUACCACGCUCGAGCAAGGCAGUCUCGACUUCCUUAUUUACUUCUACUAUCGCAGUGGAGGGGGCACCCUCUUUCUUAAUCAGUUUCACCAUCCUCAUGUUUUCGCCACUUUUCAGCAGCUUUUCGACAACGGGAUGGCUACUUAUAUCAGCCACAAGCUGCUCCUCAGUUUUCUCUCCAGGAAUACCGAAGAUAGCAAGCCUGGGCUUGAAUGUGGGGUUUGUCCUGACUUUAAGUCCACCAAUGUUGGCGGACUUAACGUUGUCCACAAGCCUCUUUUUUUCAGAGGGGUUGGCGAAGUGGAGGACAAGUUUUUUUUAUCCCUCCCUGUCACCGCGGCUACAUCACAUUUUUUUUAAACUGGGAGUUUGGGCGAUUUUUGCCCUAAUCUCACUAACAGUGAGGUCCGCGGAAGCGAGCUUCACGUGGUUGGUGCUGUUACGCAGCAUAUGCGCGUAACUGGGCUUAGUUGGUUUAGCAGGCAUAGCAACUGCAUUGGUUAGCUGGGUGACUUUAUUCGUCACAGGGGCUGGUUUGGGAGGAGGUGUUGGAGCAUUGGGAGAUCCUGCCGAGGAGGGAAGAGGCCUUAUCGCAGACUCGGUAGAGGUGAGGGGUGAAGGAAAGACGAUCGUCGAACGUAACGCCCAAGAUGGUAAGGGUUUCGGGACAGGAGAGGGGGGUGUCAUCUAUGAGGAGAUGGGGAGGGUUGCAGUAAAUAGGGAGGACCAGUGACUUAUGUGGGGUGAGGGAGAGCUUGUUGUCCAGGCACCAAGAGUGAAUGAGGUCGAGGGAGGACUGAGCUAGAGAAGGGAGGCUGUUGGAGGGGCCUGAGACGAGGACCUGAAUGUCGUCUGCGAAGGCCUGAACGUGGACGCCGUGGGGGAAGGGGAGGGAGAGAAUGGGGUUAAAGAAUAUGUUCCAGAGCAGGGACCCGCUGAUGGAGCCCUGAGCGCACCCCCGCGAGGGAGAGGUGGAGCGAGAGAAUCCUCGAUAGGAGAAGUGGAUAGAGUGGCUGGAAAGGAAAGAGCGGUAAAGUUGGAGGAGGUGGGGGCGGGGGGGCAGGAGGCGGCGACCAGUCGACCGAAAAGGGCGGGAUGCCACAGGUGGUCAAAGGCUGAUUUGAUAUCAAGGCUAAUGAGGAGACAGCACUGGUAUUUGGAAACGGACAGUUUGAAUUUUUGAUGGAGAAGUGAAAGAGUGUCGGUGGUAGAGCGCCUCCGUCGGAAGCCGAAUUGGUGAGGGUGGAGCAGGUGGUUACUCUUUCGAGUAGCUUGCUGAGAAUGGGGAGAAUUAUAAUGGGUCGGCAUUUAUGCUUGAAGUCGGUGGAGGAGGAGCGUUUAGGGAGGAGGAGGAGGCGACCCGCUUUCCAAGCGAGGGGAAACGGCAUUGACAUCUCCAGCGAAGAGAAGGCGAGGGGGGGGAGGGGAGCCAAAGAGGGAGAUAAAGGAGUCGAUGAUGGGGGAGUAAGAAGUAUGGUGGGGAAAGUAGACGGAACAAAGGGUGAGGUGGAAGGGAUGUCCAGGAUUGCGAUAGUGCGGUUGCUAGUGGAGAGACGCGGGAGGAAGACUAUGGGGAGGCUCUGGUUAAGGAUCACUAUGCAAGAGUUGCAGCGGUUGUUGGAGAUGGGAGCGUGGAGGAGGAGGGGGUGGGGAAGGGGGAGGGGAGGACGUUGUCGUGGACUGGAAGCUCUUGGAGGAAAAGGAUAUCUAUGUGUGAGGACUGGGCGAACUGUAUUAUGGAGAGGUAGCCGAAGAGGGAUCGGUUGCAAUUUAAUUGUAGGAAGCUGAUCAUAUGAGGUUGUGGGUGAUUAAGAAAGUGUUUUCGGCGGCCUUGAUGACCGGCCAGGAGAGUGAGUCUGCCCGGUGUUGGCCGUCGCCGCUGCAACGGAAGCAUUUGGGUGGGAGGGUGGUGGAGGUAACAAUCGUUGGUGUGGUGUGUGUCGCCGCAGUGUAGACACCUGGCUGGUUUGUUGCAUAUGUCGUUACGGCAGGGGUGCGUGGAUCUGGUUCUUUUGAACCUGAUGGAGUUGUAGCCGAUGAAGAGGCGGGUGCGGGUUUGUAUGUCGGUGGCGGUUUCGUGGUUUGUUUCUAUGAUGGCGUGAACGGAAUUGUUGCGGCCGUUAAAGGUCCUGAUUAAUGUACAGUCGGGGCCGACCGAUUGGGUGAGGAGGGAGGGUAGGUCAUUGAGUGGGAGGGUGUUGGGGAGGUUAAAGAGAGUGAAACGGGGUUUAAAUUUGGGGGGAAGGGUUACAUUGAUAUCAGAGCCUGUGGUAGCGUGUUUAAGUUUGGCGAAAAUGUUGUCCAUGCUUGUUUUUGUGUUGGUGUGUAAGAUUAACUUGUUCCUGGAGCGGAAUAUGUCGGUGAUUUGGGUUGUGGGGGAAGCGAGGGUGGAGAAGCAAAUUUUUGAGCGGAGGUUGUUGUCUAUGGGGGUGCUGGCGGAGUUGUCUUGAGUGAUGAGGAUGUGGUAAGGGUUGUUGCGGUUAGAAGGGGGAGGGGGGCGGCGGGGUGGGAUGUGUGUGGUGUGGCAGGGGGGAGGGGGAGUAGGAGAGGGGGGUAGGGGUUUAGAGGUGGUGGAGGGCGGGGUUUUGUGGGUAAUGGUGACUGGAUGGUUAGGGGAGGUGUUAGCAACAACUCUGGUAGUAGGUGUUACAGGGGUAUCAGGCAAGGUGCACGCUUUAGUAGUAGGGGGUAGGUGGGAAGAGGGAUUUGGUUGGGCAGCCAAGAACAGUGAGGAUGAAUAUUCUAGCUCGUGGAUCCUACGUGUGUAGGAAUCUCUGAGGGUGGCUAUAAAUUUUUCGAGGUGUGAAAUGACACAUGCGCCAAGAUUGCUGUCUGUGUCACUGAUAUGGUGACACAGCAUUGUACAGUUUUUGGCCGCCCAAUCAAAUGCCUGGUACAAGGAUGUCGUGUUGGAGGUAAUAGAGUAGGGCAAGGAGGGUGGAGGUGAGGUCAAUGUGAAGUCACGUGACAAAUUCAGGUCCUGUUCUGAGCUUGAGUUUGAUGUGGCUGAUGGAGGAUGGAUAGGGGGUGGAAGCACUUACCCCAGGCCGGCUGCUAUGGAUGAGGUUACCUCCAAUUGUUGGGUCCAAUAGGGAGUCGAUAAUCCAAAUUGUGCUUUAUUUUUUUGGUUCCACAGAUCUUCAACCAUAAUAUUAUCUCGCAUUCUUAUCUCAUUUCCAAAUAAAGUAUGGGCUCUUUCGUCUGAAUCUCGCUCAAUCAGUAAUUGCGUAAAUUGAAGGAACUUCUCCCAAAGAUUAUGCAGUUCCAUUUUAUUCACUUGAUCUAUGCAUUGAUCCCACCAUUCUGAUAGCUCCAGUAUGGAGGCAAUGAGAUUUGGUUUUUUUACAUGGAGAUUAUGUAAAACAAGUAUUUUAUCAUGAAUUUCAAUAAAGGGCAUAGCUUAAUCGCAAUUUCUCUUGUUUCAAUAUAUUUCAAAAAAAAAAAUCCAGUUGAAUAUCCGAAAUUGGCAUCAAAAUCUCUGUAAUUUCUUCCAUCUCUAAAUUCAGUCGUUAAUAAUAUUAUUACAUAUAUAUAUUGCAAGAUAGCUAGAAGGUGAACAAUCAUCAAUUCCUCUUAUAUUUAAAUCUGCUCCAAACUCAAUUAAUAAUUUUAUAAGUUCUCUAUUCCAAAAUAUAUUGCACAAUUUAGAGGUAAUGUUUCUUGAUGAUUUUUUUUCAUUAACGUUUAUACAACCUAACUCUAACAGAAAUUUUGAAAUUGAAAAAUUAUCUUCGAUACAUGCAUGUAAAAAUGCUGAAUCACCAUUAUUGUCAGUUUCAUCAAUUUUCACUCCUGCUUUAAGUAAUUCAAUCAAAAUAUCCUUUUUGUUAGCUAUUGCUGCAACUAUUAAACAUGUUCUACCAUUUUCAGCUCUUGAAUUUGCAUCCGCGCCAGGCUUCUAACAAUAACCUAACAUUUGUAAGACUUUCCAUACUGGAAAAAAAUAAGGGUGUACAACCUCUUUUAUCACAAGCGUUUACAUUUGAGCGACAUUCUAAUAAAAUUUUGAGAAUAUUUAUAUUAUCUUCUUUAGCUGCAUACAUCAAAGGAGUAAGUUCUUCUGAAUCUUUGCUUCUAAAUCUGCAUUUUUUAAAUCAAUAUUUCGCAAAAAGAUUUAAAUUGUAAAUACACAGCUAAAUGUAAACAUGUAAUCGAGUUUUCAUAUUUCAGGUGAAUAUUUGCACCUUUCUCAAGCAAGAGUUCAAAUAAUUGAAGAUUACUUUGAUCAAGAGAAAUAAAUAGUGUUGUUUCUAGGGUGUGUGGCCGCUCAGGAGAACCCGCGUUUUGAUUGGCUGCGGGCAAAAAAACAAAUUCUGGGAGGGAGAAUCGGCGAAAGUUAACCCUUAGGUCAUUUAGCUGGGGACAUUCAAAAAAUAUGUGGUCAACCGUUUCAGGGGCGUGUUGGCAGUCAGGGCACAUUACAUCUCGCAAGAGGUCCCUCCUCCUAUACCUGUAGGUUCUGAUAAAUGUGUGGCCGGUGAGGAAACCUGUGAUAAUUUGCGAAGAGGGGUGGAUAAACUUUUGUUCUCUAAGGAGCGAAAGAGGGGAGAUUUUGAAGGUCUGGUAGAUGGUAGGGUUCUUAUCACGGAAUUCAACAUCCCAGCGAUCCCAGAAGCGGCGCGAGGUGAACUUGAGCAGGUGGUUAUUGGAGGCCAAGGAAUACACUGGGGGCGAUAAUGAGUCAGCGGCGGCUUGGCAUGCCAGCAGAUCGGCGAGACAGUUCCCAAAAAUGCUGGCAUGGCCUUUAACCCAGUGCAGGGUGACGUGUCUUUGAGGGAGGAGAGAAAAAAGUAGCCUCUGUAUUUUGAAAACCAGGGGGAACCUUAUAUCGGGGUUGGAGAUGGCGUGAAGAAGAGAAAAGCAGUCAGAAAAGAUCCCAACAGAGAGGUUAGGAGGGAGGGUAGAGACGUCCCGGAGCGCCGUGAGGAGAACAAAGCUCUCAGCCUGAAAUACGCUGCAGUGAGAGGCAAGAUGUAGGGAGAGGGCCAAGGGUAAGAUCCCAAGAGAGGAAGAGGAAAUUCUAGCGAUGCCAGAACCUACCCCCUUUUUGGUUUUGGAUCCAUCAGUAAAGUAGCAGACAUCAGGAGCUGUAGGAGGGAUGGGACGGUGAGAGAGAUCGGGCAGAAGAGGUGGAGACGGGUAGAAGAAGGGAGAAGGUCUUUUUUCAACUUGGAAGGGCAAGGGCUCGGGUGGGCGCGAAGCAAGGAGAGUAAAAUGAUUUUUAGAUCGAGAGGAAGGACCCUAAGAAGAGUUAUAGCAGCGAAGGUGGGGGCGCUAUGAGGCGCUGGCUGUAUGUUUGUGUGAGGUGUGAGAAUGUUAUGUCAAGGGUAGUUUCAAAUUAGUCGGCGUUUGAGGGGGUGAGGAUACAGGCGAAUGGAGCAAGGAGUCUCAGAGAGGGGUAAUCAAUGGAAAAAUGCUCGAGCAGAGCAGCCUCGAUAUCUUUGUUUACCUCUAAUAUCGCUGUGGAGGGUGAACCCUCGUUCCUUAUCAGUUUAACAAUUCUACAAUCGGCGUCGUUUUUCAACAUUUUCUCGAGAGCAGGAUGGCACCUAAUAUCAGCCGCAAGCUGCUCCUCGGUUUUCUCAGCUGGAACCCCAAAGAUAGUGGGCCUGGGCUUAAAUGUAGGGUUCGACUGGACUUAAGACUGCCAAUGUUAGCGGUCUUAACCUUGUCAACAAACCUCUUUUUUUCAAAGGGAUUAGUUUUUUUUUUUUGCUUAUCCCUAGUACACGUGGUACAGGCCAUGAUAAUCAUGGUGGGUAGUUAGCGACUGCUUUUACUGUAAGUGCACCACAUGUCUACACAUGUGAAAAGCAGUUCGACUUUGCACUUACUAAUGCCAGAGCCCCGUUUGGUUACUUGCACUCGCUGGUGGGGUUGGACUUUUGCAAGAAUCGGGGGCCAUUGGAGCAUUUUUUUUCUUUAAACAGAAAAAAGUGUCCAAUGCGGGUUCGAACCCGGGUCCUAGUGGUCGAAAACCAAAUGGUUUAACCAGGUGGAGGACCAGUUUUUUAUCCUCCCCCCAGUCACAGCGGCAACAUCCAAGUUCUUCAAACUGGGAGUCUGAGCAAUUUUUGCCCUUAGCUCCUUGACAGAAAGAUCGGCGGAAGCCAACUUAACAUGUUUGGCACUGUUACGCAGCGUCUGAGCGUAGCUGGGUCGUGAGGGCUUGGUCAGAUUAACACUGACACUAGCUGGCAGCGUGACUUUUGUCACUGGAGCGGAUUUGAGGUCGCAGGCCUUCAGUUUGUUGGCCAGAAUGUCAAACAAGGAGUGCUGCAGACUCGUCAACAUCCCGUUAAUUCUAUGGUACAUCACCCAGUAAGGUGAUGCACCCAUGUCCUUACCCAGGACCGUUCCUAUCUUCCCAUACACCAUAGUUAGACAUUCAGUGAAGCUGGUGCCUAUUUCUUCCCACCCUUCGCCGAAUGCCUGGUUGGAAUCAAGAGGCCUGAUGGGUGAAGUAGAGGGAGAGACCCGGGGAUACUCACCAGUGGGAGGGAUCUCAGGUUGAACAAGCCUGAUUCCAUGCCAAGAGGGGUCCAUUGUAUUAGCGUCGCUUUUUUUAUUAUUGCAUCUAACCAGGGGGGUGUCCAUCAUGCCGUCGAGGGAUGAUCAGUGGAGCCUCGCUCGUAAGCUUUUAAAUUACUCAAAACAAAAUGACUCAUGUAGAACUUGAGCCAAAAAAAGGAAAAACUCCGCAGGUUGUGGGAUGGGUGAUACAUGGGCACGGAAUGUGCUGGUUGACAGUCAAUAUGAACAAGUUGGUACAGAUGGGUAUGAUGUGGAAGGGAUGACAGAAGUUUACAACAAUAUAUGUACAACAAACAAAAUGAGCAAGAUAAACAACAAGGGGGAAUGUGGGAACGUAUGACAGACUACGGGCUAUGGAUUACAAUAGGGAAAAAUCAUCAGACUGUGGAAUAUUUUCAGGCACAAACCUACCAUAGUUGUUGCCGAAUUCACACGCAGAAUGCCAAAGAACACUGGAGUCGGCGAACUCAGAGAGGGUGGUUGGAAUUUAAAUCUCUCUUCAGAAACUGGCUUGUUAGAAUAAGCUUCCUUUGCUCGUCCAAGUUUUCAACAGAAUCUCUUCUGGAAGAGAUAAAUUUAAGCAACCGUGCUUUAUUUGACCAUCUGUCAAAAAAAUACCUCGUGGAAAUUGAUUGAUUUUAAAGAGAGGUCUAUCCUGUCAAGAAGGGCGUCAGGACAACAUGAUGGCGAAAGAUAAACAGUAAACAGAGGGAUUGACAUGUCAUUCACUUCACAUAGAACAUUCACACACGACAAAUGUUCAUCACCUGUUUUCUCCAGACUUUCCCCACAUUAUAGUUGAGCCCUACCUGAAGCACAGUGGUUGUACCUGAAGGUCAUCAGUAUCUCUUCAGUUAUUUCUUCUCAUUU